rnacentral:lncRNA from 1 species
GGGAGACUGAAGAAGCCAGUCUGUCGGACACCGGGAGACUCUGUCCAAAACAAAACAGAAACAACUAUAACAAAACUGGAGAAUGCCAGCCGGGAAUACUGUUGAUUAGCGGUGUUUCUUGUGGUUUUACCUUGUAGCCAGGGUGCCCUGGAACAUGACACCCUCCUACUUUGGCCACCAGAGUGAUAGGGACAGCCUGCAAGAGGGUGGGUUUCUUGGCCCUGGCAUUCUUGAUUCCUGGCCUUUGCCUCCUAACACUGAAGAAAUUUCUUAGCAGACAAGUGUCUCUGAUGGCGUGUGGGAGGUUAAUUCUCUGCUACCUGCGAACUGAGCCAAUUCAAGCCAGAUUAGAUUAUACUAAAGGAGUCCAUUUGUGUUGAAGUUUGGGCCAAGGAUGUGGGGCCAGAAAGACCUUGAGCAGCGACACAGCAAGCAUAAAGGGCUAAGGGAGAUGGGACGCCUAACACUUUCAGUCUAGGGGGCCAAUGACCUGGAUCUGAACCACCAGCAGAAAGGGCUCGCCCCUGAAGAGAUAGUUAGAAGACUUCUCCUCUUAAUGAGAGACUGUGCCUUCCCUUCCCAGAAUUCCCACACCCCUGCAGGUUUGCAGGGCUGCACUCAGCCACAAGUGCUUUUCUUUUAGGAUUUUAGAAAAAAAAAAAUGUAACUUUUCCUUUGUUCUAUCUUGGCUGCAAGUGGCUGCCCGCUGUGUGUGUGUGUGUGUGUGUGUGUGUGUGUGUGUGACCACCUCCAACCUCAGAUUGGCUGGAAUGGGAUGGGGUUGUUUUUUUCUUUUUCUCUUCUCCAGUCCCCUCUGGGAAGCUACUGAGAUUUCCAGCUUCUCUGCCUGGCCCGUUUGUUUGUUUGUUUGUUUGUUUGUUUGUUUGUUUGUUUUAACUUCUAAUACAAUGGUCCUUCAUCUUCU